CCGGUAGACUUUUACUCGCAAUAAAACUCUUCCGAUUUGGUGCAGCGAGUGUUCCCGCCUGAAAGCCGAGUUUGGUUUCAAGCCACCCUGGACAACUGCUGUAUGAGGCGCCGUUUCUCGGGAGGACCAGUGGGAAGGCGCCAAGUCAUGCAGAUGGUAGCAGCAAUUUCACAAUGCCCAGCCUUGGCGCCCCCCAUCAAGAGCAAGCCACUUGCGUUCGCCUUCAGACAGAUGGUUAAUGUCUUCUUGAAAGCGGUUGAGAAGACAACAUUGAUGCAAGAUUCCAGCAAUGCCAUGCGCUGCAUUUAUUGGUCAAGAUGCUCAGAGAAUGGAGUCCCUGCACCUCGUGGUUAACCGUGAACAUUUCUUUUUCUUUUGGAAAGCUAAAGGCCAUUUGCUGCACCACUUGCAUUUUUGCAGCUCAGAUGUGUACUAUAUUUUUCUAAUUUUGAAUCAAUAUUGGCUGUUCAGUAUAAAAAAUGACUUACAGCGUGAAGGACAAGGACUGUGAGAGACACACUCCACUGACUUUCAACAAUAUUUUAUUGCGUUGCCACAUCGUGUGUGUAUACACAGAGGGGUCAUGCGCAGAAAAUGAAAGCCAGUUACAAGGGGUGUUCUAACAGCAAGUCAUUGUAAAAAGAACAUGGUCACUUGAAAAAAAAAAA